UCUGGAAAGAAGUGCUAACAAAAAACUACGCUUCCUUCUCCUUAAAACUGCGGAAACAUCUAGGUAUCAAAAUCCCUAGAUGUUCCUCAGUUAGUGAAGGUGUAAGGGUUGGUCGCCUUGGCCUAACCCCACAAUGAUGUAGGGAUUGGUUUACUAAUGAUACUAUGCGUGAUAGACGUAUAACUUCUGAACGGUGUUUGAUUUAUUUAAUACUAUAAUAACACUAGUUUUGCAGGUAUUAACUUCGCACGUAACAGCUCGUAAGGCGAAGCGUCUCUGAGGGCCUAUUCUCGAGUUUCGUGUGAAUUUAGUCGUAUACGAACACUUUAUACGAAUCGUUCACAUACGAAAACGAUAUUCUGGAGCACUAACGAAUCACUGAUUCGUAUACGUAUGAAAUUACAGUAUUGCCAGAUUUACGCGUUGGAGACGAACCAAUGAUUGUUCAACUUUAGAAAAUACCAACGGAAAUAUACAUGACGUCCUGUCAAUGUCACGUGUAGUUUUCCGUAAACGAGAACGCUGUGCAAGAGGCCCUAGCCGUCCGUUUAUUACACUCAAGUUGUAAUGUUUUAUUGCGGCCACGGGAUGCGACGGUACUUCCGAGUGACCAUGGGUUUUCCCAAAUUUAGAAACUUGGCAGCAUUAACCGAGAAGCGUUUGAGAAAAGGCAGUAGUAGUCCACAAUCGUUUGCGGAAACACCGUGGAAAAAAUUGUGUGAAAGAAAAAUGUGCGACGAGGUUAAGCUAACAAAACGAAUGGGGAACAUACCCCCGAACGAAAAGAAAUUCUCAUUGAAUUUAUUGAAGGAAAUCCAAACCUAACGAGAUCGAAAUUUUCGGCCGAUUACACGUAUAAGGAUGGGCAGCGUUUAUGGCAAGAAGUUACCAAUAUUUUGAAACGCUUUGCCAGGGACGAAGAAAGACUGGAAACAAUGGAGACGUACGUGGCAAGAUUUCCGAGGCAAAGCGAAGGCUAAGCAGUCUUUACUUAAUAGAAAUUUAAAUGCCACAGGCGGUGGUCCAUUAAGUACAGAGAAUUUAUCGGUGGAGGAGGAACGUGUCCUCAACACAAUACAUCCUACACAAGUGAAGGGUGAUUCCAAUGUAGAUGAAACGCCGAUACAAUUUGACUACUCUGAAGAUAUUUGGAUGCAAACUUGGUGGACGACGAGAAGGUGGAAACACCAGCAGACGCCCAACCUGGCCCUUCAACGGUAGUGGAGAGACCAACAAUUAAGAUAGAAAAAGUGAGAUUUAUAGUCAGAAACACCCUCUGCGUCAAGCCACUAAAUCACAAAAACAAACUGGCAUGAGAUCACAAUCUUCAGUGCUUCUGGCACGAAUAGCCGAGGAAGACAAAGAAAAUAGGAAGGAGUAUUAUAAUAAAAAAUUGGCAUUACUGGAGAGGGAUGUAGUAGCCAAAGAAAGAAUUGCGACAGCCUUAGAAACUUUGGCUACUACACACUAUGGAUAAAUCAUAUGAAAGUUCUAUUGAUUACUUUGUUUUUAGUAAUUAUGCAAUACCUUAUUCUUAAUUACUGAGUAAUUCAAUUACUUACAACUACCCAGAAAGUAAUUAAAAGAUAUCCCAAAUCUAAAGUAUAUAAAAUUACCUCAAAAUAAUUAAAAAGUAAUUAUAAUUAUCUUUUAAUUACAUUUAGAUAUUUUUAUUUACUUUAGAUUUGGAAUACCUUUUAAUUACUUUCUGGGUAGUUAUAAGAAAUUAUUUAAAAGUAAUUGAAUUACUCAGUAAUUAAGAAUAAUGUAUUGCAUAAUUACUAAAAAGAAAGUACUCAAGAAUUACUUAAAAUUACUUAAACUAUGUACGUUAUGCAUAUUUUUCUUAGUGGAAUAGGCCUAUUGGGGACACCACUUAAAAAAAAACGCGUUGACAGCAAAAUUACCUCAUGGGUAACGUGGAAAGAUAUUGGAAUUGUAAUGGAAAAUAGGUACAAAUAAUUUUUUCAUAACAGUAUAGGGUAAAACAUUUACUAGAUGAAUUCGAAUGUAAUUAUUCCAAAUUGUAAUGAAUGCAAAAGUAAUCAUUACUUUACAGCUCUGUAUACAAGUUAAGGUGCCUGUACAUAUCUACUUUAAAAUAGUAAUGUAAUAAUAAAGUAGUUAUAAAAAUGACUGAUAUUCUAUUAUUAAGGGUGCGCAGGAGACAAACUGGCGCCACCAACGGAAAGUAGGUGAACUACUAGAUAGUUUUUCCCGUUUUUCAGGCACAAUAAUGAAAAAAACAUAUAAUAAUUAUGCAUUUCGUAAUCAGGGGAAGUAAAUCUAUCGUCUCGUCAAGCGUUUAUUGGAAAAAAUUGAAAAAAAAAAAAAUUUCUUGUCUUUGAACGUAUUUUUAGCACGUUUCAAAAGCGAAUUGCAAAAUAUGUAACUGUCCCCCGCAACGGUAUUUUAUAAGGAACAGUUUAAAAAAAAAAUCAGCCGGAAAGGUCGCUUCCUCGCCUCAUAAAAUUACAAUAACUGUUUGGAAAAUUGCAAACGUUGACAUCAUUCUGUCUUUGUCUCUCCUCCGAUUGAUGUAUCUCCCUCUCUGUCACAGCAUCAUUAGAGAGACAAGGAUCUAUGUAUCCUUGUCCUAGAGCUUCCUACUUUCUCCGCAACUGUCGCUGAAGUCAACUCGGACUUUUGCUGGGUCUCCUGUAUAGAAUUGAAUACAAUUCAAUGAAUAUCUCAGUUGCACGCUCGCCAAACUCUGGAAAAACCCCACGCCGAUGCGACGGUAGCGCCAACCUGACCAAUCCUAGGGGA